rnacentral:rRNA from 1 species
AUUGAACGCUGGCGGCAGGCCUAACACAUGCAAGUCGAGCGGAUGAAGGGAGCUUGCUCCUGGAUUCAGCGGCGGACGGGUGAGUAAUGCCUAGGAAUCUGCCUGGUAGUGGGGGAUAACGUCCGGAAACGGGCGCUAAUACCGCAUACGUCCUGAGGGAGAAAGUGGGGGAUCUUCGGACCUCACGCUAUCAGAUGAGCCUAGGUCGGAUUAGCUAGUUGGUGGGGUAAAGGCUUACCAAGGCGACGAUCCGUAACUGGUCUGAGAGGAUGAUCAGUCACACUGGAACUGAGACACGGUCCAGACUCCUACGGGAGGCAGCAGUGGGGAAUAUUGGACAAUGGGCGAAAGCCUGACCCAGCCAUGCCGCGUGUGUGAAGAAGGUCUUCGGAUUGUAAAGCACUUUAAGUUGGGAGGAAGGGCAGUAAGUUAAUACCUGGCUGUUUUGACGUUACCAACAGAAUAAGCACCGGCUAACUUCGUG